UAAUAACCAACGACUUCGAAAUUUGCGAGAGCCCAAGAGUGCCAAGCUUUAUACCACGAUUUAUCGAACAAAGUAGCAUAAAAAUAACAAUUCAAAAUAUCCCUUACGCUUUCUUGAUUAACACUAUCUUGAAGAGACUUUUUCCAUUUGCCAAGUUUAUGAAAACACCUUGCUAAAAACGAACGCUCUUCCGAACUUACAGAUGAUGAGGCUAAAAUAUCAACCAACUUUGAAGAAUCACCCAUUUUAUACCCAUGUUUUGACGAUAGAUAUGAGGUGAACUCUUCGAGCUCCGAUACCGCAAUAUUUUUUUGAUCUGUAGCCCACAAAUAUUUUAAAUACGUAUAUACAACAUGAGGAUUGAGAAGCUUAAGUGAGUCAAGCGGGUAAGCAUUUGAAGGAUCGCGACCCAUCAAAUAUGUGAGACACUGAUUUGAAAGCUUCAACCGGUCAGAACGACGGCAAAGAUCAGCUAAUUUUAUCCACAUUUCAGGAGAAUCUUGUGGAGACAAUACCAGAGCCCUAAACCGAAGCGUAUUAUGCCAAACAUCCACAUUUUUCUGACAUCCUUCAAGCCUUUUCCGCCACGUUUUUUUAAGAGAG